rnacentral:rRNA from 2 species
GGCGAUCAGAUACCGCCCUAGUUCUAACCGUAAACGAUGACAACCAGCGAUUAAUCGGCGUUAAUAUACGACCCGAUUAGCAGCUUCCGGGAAACCAAAGUUUUUCGUUUCCGGGGGAAGUAUGGUUGCAAAGCUGAAACUUAAAGGAAUUGACGGAAGGGCACCACCAGGAGUGGAGCCUGCGGCUUAAUUUGACUCAACACGGGAAAACUCACCCGGCCCGGACACUGUAAGGAUUGACAGACUGAGAGCUCUUUCUUAAUUCAGUGGGUGGUGGUGCAUGGCCGUUCUUAGUUGGUGGAGCGAUUUGUCUGGUUAAUUCCGAUAACGAACGAGACUCUGGCCUAUUAAAUAGACGAGGUAUUUACAUAGUAUCUCGCGCUUCUUAGAGGGACAAGCGGCGUCUAGUCGCAUGAAAAAGAGCAAUAACAGGUCUGUGAUGCCCUUAGAUGUCCGGGGCUGCACGCGCGCUACACUGAAAGAAUCAGCGUGCAUUUUAACCUAGUCCGGAAGGACCGGGUAACCCGAGUAAAUUCUUUCGUGCUUGGGAUAGGGAAUUGCAAUUAUUUCCCUUAAACGAGGAAUUCCCAGUAAAUGCGGGUCAUAAGCUCGCGUUGAUUACGUCCCUGCCCUUUGUA